AAGAAUUAUUGCCAUGAAAUAAGAACAUAACACGGUGAAAUUAAAAAUUAUCACACUCUCAAACAAUAUUAAAGUGUUUCGUCGUUCAUAAAAGUUAAAAGUCAUAAUCCAGCUAAAUUGAUUUUGUCAUGUUGACACUUAUUAUAUUUCUGGUGGUUCCUUGUUUUAACGAGGCUAAUCUGAGAUGCAUUUAUGGGGACAGACCGAUUUGUGGAAGUGACGGAAUCACAUAUUUAAACUUAUGUGAUUUGCAAAUAAUACGUACUGUCCACCCUUACGUGUACGUAAGACACAUAGGGCAGUGCGCAAUCGGUAAACAACUCGUCGCCUUAAAUCAACAAAUGAAAUCCUUGGGAUCGCCAAACGGAGGAUAUUUGCGAUAUAGGAAAAAAAAGUACCGUCGGCCUUCUCAACCGAGUCCGAAUGAAGAAGAUGGCGAUUUAAAAGAGAUGUUUUUUACCAAACUGUAUAGUUCGAUGCUUCAGUUAAGCGCCUUUGAAAACUUUAACAUGGUGAACAAUAGUAUAGCGACGAGCGGAAACAACAAUUUAUUCGAGAUAAGUUUCGGCAAUUCCAAACAAAAUAAAGAAACGAGGUCUGAGGUGGCAAAUGAGGUUGAGUUAGCUUUUUAGACAUUUUAAUACUAAUAUCCAUACUUUUCCCCUGAGUAGAAACUCUGUUAGCUCGAAGUCUUUACUAAAUUUUCUAAUUAUAAUAAACUUAACAGUUUUUUUUAAAAAUCGUAUAUUUUUACUAAGAUUUAAUUAAGACAAAGCACACAGUUUUCCCUUGUUCCUACAAUCGAAUCUGUUAUCAUUGCCGGGAUCGUAGUAGCUAAAGUCGAAUAAUUUCUUAUUUCCAUUUUUAGGUUUAUUGUCACUCAGAGUCAUGCAAACACCAUUGUAUUUGUAGAAUAUGCUUUUGUGACUUUCCUUGUCAACAUUUAAAUAACAGAUAUUAGUAUAGGUUUUUUCAUUACUACCACACACGGGUGAAUACAUUUGGCACACCCUUUUACAUUUUCCUUUAUGGAGCACUUGCAGCGAGGGAUCUCGUUUCUGGGCAUCGAAGUAGCGACUUUUUGAAGAGAAUGUUUCAAAAUUUGACGCACACAAUGGCCCAUUUUUAAAAGUCGGUAGCGGCAACAGAGAACAUACAGCAUAAGAAAUAAUUGUAUAAAAUAAAAACACUAAAAAAAGCAAUAAAAUAGUAGAUUAUUAUAACGUACCAUACAUGUGUACAUUUCAAUCUAUUGGAUUUGUACAAAACAAUUAAAAUUGACUAAAUGUCUUACCAGUUUUUAUCAUUUUACACAUUUAGGAACGUUUUCAAGUUUCCUUAAAAAGUGAGUGCAGUCUGUCUCAUGUACUCGUACCUUUUGUGAUUAAAUGAGAAUUUUAUAGGCCAUUAAAUAAUUAUACUAGUGUAUAAUUGCUUCAGCCAAUUUAUUAACAAUCGAAGCCAAGUCUCUGCUUUAAGAUAUAUGCCCAAUAUAAAUAUAUAUGCGAAAUAUUAACUUGGUUAACUUGGUUUUUUCCAUUUUUGUCAUGUACCAUGUCUUUAUGUUGCAUCAAGUAAGUAAAUGGUUUUCGGUAUUACCUAACUCAUCAUUAACAUGGCUUCUGGGGUAUAUUAUUGCGGUGUUUUAUGGAAGAUACACAUAAAUCUAACUAUUAGUCCCGAAUAAGAUCAUUAUCACUGAGCGAAAGACAUACACGUUGUUACGAAAAUAUCUGUGGAAAGAUAAGCAAAGCGCCAAUUCAGCCCAAAUUGAGCAAGAAAAUAAUCAGUAUGUAGGUUGUAUUACAUAUUACAUUUGAGGCUUAGAAAACAACGAGAUAAAUAUCGUCCUCUCGCAACAAUCUCAGAAUACUUGCAAAAUAACACCCACGCACCACGUUCAAUACAUGUACAUAUCGAUGCGAAGUGAAACAUAAACAUAAAUUUAUUAACUCCUUUCUCUUCGAACUUACUUUACAGAAGAACCUCAACGUUCCUGUUGCUUUAGCGGCGUGUAUCUACAGUUACACUUGUUUUUAUAAUAUACUAGGGCUGUACCAAGGACAAAUUUAAAUGCAUUUCCAAUAAUACCUAGAUAAUGACAUGUUUUCAUUUUAAUCAAAGCGAGGCACGUUCAUCCGGCAAUUCUCAGUAUAAUAACGCGUAUUAUAUAAGGAAUGCGGCCGGUUAUAACAAAUGCCCGUAUAGCCGUGCUUCAAGAGACCUGCUUUGCAUUAUUUAUGCACAAGCAUCGUAAAUAUGACACACGAUAUAUCAAACAAUCAUAUUGGUAUAAACAUAUUAGUUCAAUGAAUUUCGGGGCUAUUUUUUGUUGGCCCAGCUUAUAUUGAUGUAGAAUAUAACUCGAUUUGCUGAGUGAGUUAAGGAAUUAAUGUUAUUUUCCAUGUGAAAUACCAUAAGUUCACACCAACACUCCAAUUGUGUGGUGGUGGCCUUGUGAAGUGUUAUUGGGUAUGUAAUUUUAAAAAUUAUUCUCAUGUAGGUAUAAUUAUCCGCACUAAGUUUUGGUGUUCAAUUAUAAUCAUUUUUGUCACUGUUUCCUAUGUAAGGUGUUGCUGGAAAGACUAACUCUUCCGCAUACCGCCUUUUCUCAGUAGUUGAAUAAUAUACACGACACAACGAAAUCGAUUUGUUACCAUUUUAAAUAAAUAAGUGUUAAAUAUCAAGUAAAUGCGAAUAAUUAUAAUCACGAUGGAAUAAUAUUUCAUAGAUUUCGUAACAAAACGUGAAUCAUUUGCAUGAUUUACGCGAGAAAUACACGACUAUCAUUUAAUUGUGUUUUUGUACACGAAAUUAUUUUAUUGUUAGGCUAUUUGAGGAUUAAUCAGCAUUCCCUGUAAGUGUGGCCGCUGUCGGGUUUAUACUCUUAAGGAAAAUUCAAAAUGCUUCAGGCAAGCGAGAUGAGGAAUUCUAUUUUAGUUUGAAUAAUUUAAUGACUCGAAUUCAACCCUUUAUACCGAAAUAAGACACUAUAUAAAGACUAUAGACUUAAAUGACAUUGAUGUUCAUGAUAUUUUAAUUGAAAAUAAAAUAAAUUAGUUAA